AACGAACGCUGGCGGCAGGCCUAACACAUGCAAGUCGAGCGAGGACUUCGGUUCUAGCGGCGGACGGGUGAGUAACGCGUGGGAAUGUGCCCUUCUCUACGGAAUAGCCCUGGGAAACUGGGAGUAAUACCGUAUACGCCCUAUUGGGGAAAGAUUUAUCGGAGAAGGAUCAGCCCGCGUUGGAUUAGGUAGUUGGUGGGGUAAUGGCCUACCAAGCCGACGAUCCAUAGCUGGUUUGAGAGGAUGAUCAGCCACACUGGGACUGAGACACGGCCCAGACUCCUACGGGAGGCAGCAGUGGGGAAUCUUAGACAAUGGGGGCAACCCUGAUCUAGCCAUGCCGCGUGAGUGAUGAAGGCCUGAGGGUUGUAAAGCUCUUUCAGCUGGGAAGAUAAUGACGGUACCAGCAGAAGAAGCCCCGGCUAACUCCGUG
rnacentral:rRNA from 1 species